GCUGGGCAUGGUGGCUCAUGCCUGUAAUCCCAGCAAUUUGGGAGGCUGAGGCAGGUGGAUCACCUGAGGUCAGGUGUUCAGCCUGGCCAACAUGGUGAAACCCUGUCUCUA
rnacentral:sRNA from 1 species